rnacentral:rRNA from 1 species
UACAGGGGGUGCAAACGUUGCUCGGAAUUAUUGGGCGUAAAGCGCGCGUAGGCGGCUACUUAAGUCGGAUGUGAAAGCCCUUGGCUCAACUGAGGAAGUGCACCCGAAACUGAGUAGCUGGAGUACGAAAGAGGGUCGCGGAAUUCCCGGUGUAGAGGUGAAAUUCGUAGAUAUCGGGAGGAACACCGGUGGCGAAGGCGACUACCUGGCCUGUUUCUUGACGCUGAGGCGCGAAAGCUAGGGGAGCAAACGGG